UAGGGAGUGGUGAGGACUCUUAAAGUGCA
rnacentral:piRNA from 1 species